ACGUCCUCCUUCCGCCUCCUCCACCCAACCUCUGUGUCGACGGGCUUCUUCCCGACGUCCUCUUGCUGCGUGGCGGCGAUGUGGUCGAACUCGUCGGAGAGCUUCCUGGCGCGCUUCCUCCGCCGCUCCAUGGCCUCUGCCCUGCUGCAUCCUCCGCACCCGGCACGAGGCAGAGGAGACAGGCGAAGGGGAAGUCCCUCCAGACUCGACGCGAAGGGACGGCGCAGUCGGCGAGAAUGCCGCGUAGGCGUCGGCGGCACCGAUGAGGACAUGGACGAGGGAGGUGGAGAGGAUGACCCCCGCGCGUACCCGUCUCGCCCGCGGAAGGCCUUGGUCAGCGCGACGGGGAGGAAGACGCCAACGACGCUGUCGAGGAGGAUUGGGAGCAGGGAGCCCUUCUUGAGCUGCGUCGCCGCAGCCACGUCGCGCAAGAUCCCUUCCUGCCCGGGCACUCUCCCCCGCUCCGGCGCGACAAUCCCGCCCGAAUGAGCGCCUUCCUCCGUCGUUGAUCCGCGGGCCCAUCACGCGCAUGGUGUGCUUGACGCGUCGCCUCGACACGCUGCACUGCCUUUACUAGACAUGUUGAAACUACAUUGCUGUCUCCAACUCUGAAAACUACAGGCCAUGUUUGAUUAAAAUAGGAGCCUGAGCGAUGGAGUAUGAAGGCACCUUCGUACUGUAUAUUUGCAUGGAUGUAUCAAUAUUGGCAUUCACAUCAAUCAUGUAUAUUUUACAAGCAGAUUUGUAUGUUACAUUCAGACUGAAUUUUACCUUUCCCAUGUGUAGACAUAUGAAGCAUUGAAGCUGGAAGUCAUGUGAUCAAAGAUAAGCACCAGCGACGAGUAACUGGGAAGGAGAGGCUGAUACUUGAGAUAGGUUCUACGAUGAUAAUGGUGGUGGUAGCGGCUUGCAAUUCGCAUGGAUGGGGUGGAGAAUAGCAUGGAUUAAUCUUCAAAUCCUACUAGGCAGCGCUUCACCAUGAAUGGCUACGACGGCAGCAGAAUGGAGGAGCUCAGUGUGUUCUGUAAGAUAUGGCUGUGUAGUAUGUGGAGUGAAGAUGCAUCUACCAUCAGUUUCUUAGUUAUUGAGGACAACUUUUCCUGGUGGCGCUACCGGUGCCCAAAUAUCUCAUUUCUCUUGAUUAUAUAGUGAAUGCAAUUACUUCGUUUCGCCCAAAUUCCCCCCAAAAAAUUAUAUUUGAAAAGUUUGUUCUGAUCAAAUAUGUUAAAUAUUGACACAUACUCCCUCCGUCUGGAAUUACUUGUCGCUCAAACGGAUGUGCUAGAUACAUUUGUUUGAGCGACAAGUAAUUGCGGACGGAGGGAGUAUUUGACUAUGCCUAUUAAUUUGUAUUGCUCUUGCUGGGUAGGGAUAAGUGUUAUGAAUUGUUGCUAUUGUUGUGAGAAACAUAUAUUGUUGAGCUUAUAGAUAAGCACAUAGAAGAUGCAAAAUAUAAUAUUGCGUAUGUGUUGUUGUGCUAGAUUAUCUCGUGAAGGGCAAACCUAACAACGUUCAAUGCAAAGUACUCCCUCCGUUCCGAAUUACUCGUCGCAGGUAUGGAUGUAUCUAGAUGUAUUUUAGUUCUAGAUACAUCCAUUUUUGCGACAAGUAAUUUGAAACGGAGGGAGUAGUGAAUAAGGGAGGAAGAGCUCAAGGAACAAAGGGUAGAACAAUAUACGAAUAUACAAACUGACCUGUUAGGCGUGGCUUCACAAAAACUAAGGUCUAAAUUUUUUGGAUGAUGCACAUUAAUGGAGUUUUUUGUUUAUUCACUUCGUUCCAAGAUAUAUCGCAAGACUUGCUUCGCUGGUGCCAAAGCUCAUUAGCAGCAAUGCAAAGCUUUUGAUUGGAGCAAAGCUAUACAACCAAGGAAAUUGGAUUUCCUUUCCGUCGAUGUAAAUAUUUUACUGUCCCCGAAUCUUUCUCCUGGCCUAAUAUAUUUGCAGAUGUCUAUGUCUUUGUGAUCUUCGUGGAGGCUGCUUAUCUCACAGUUUUUUCUGUCUAUCCCGCCUAGGAAAAUAGAUUGUACAGUAUUAAUUUAGUCGAACAACACGAGUAACAUGCCUGCCUACUGUAGUUAUUUUUGACUAUCUGAUCUGUUCACACAUCAUUACAAAGUUCCUUAAAACUACCUUUGUAGAUAUUUCAAACCAAGGUCUAGGAGUAUUCAGCCAAUCAUGCUUUCAAACCAGCAGAGAAUGGGAAAGAAAGUAUCUGUAUUUAGGCUUACUAACUAUUAACAAACAAUGUGGUUCUCAUAUGAAUGUGUGUAAUUUUAUUCUAUUCAUCAGUGUGUAAAUCACAAGAGAACUGUGCAAUGAGGUUCUUGUCAUACUGAUGAGAAUAGUGUACUAUUUCCAAUUUUUUUUUGCUCAAUAUUGAAGCACUGGACCCUUCUUGUUCUGUACUUCUGUGCAACAACUAACACUCUUUCUCGCCACUACGGCCGUGAAACUUCAACCAUAUAGAUGUGCUCGAGCUGCUUUAUAUCGCAUAAUGACCAUUCUUCUGUUUGCAGCACAUAGUCUCUUUGAUGAUUGGACUCGGCACCUUGGCCUGGUACCAUGCACAACAGUCCCCAUGGAAUCUAUCGUCGCCUUAAUGGCUAUUAGAGCUGGUGUAGUGUGACGAAAGCAACGUCAAUGAAGAGAAGAAAGAUUGCCGUCGAGGUUGUUGUGUAAGAUUCUCUCAUUGCUAUGAACAUUACGAAAUAGAUGCAAAUGAAGCUGAAUUGCAGCUUACAAGAUUUUGAUAAAGAUAUACAUUUUAUAUUCAAAGAAGAUAUCUAAUAAGUCCUAUGUACUCAG